UACCCGCCCCCCGAGUGGUGGGGACGCUUAUUGGGCCUAAAGCAUCCGUAGCCGGCUGGGUAAGUCCCCUGUUAAAUCCAGCGAUUCAAUCGCUGGACUGCGGGGGAUACUGCCCAGCUAGGGGUCGGGGGAGGCCGGCGGUAUUCCCGGGGUAGGGGUGAAAUCCCAUAAUCCCGGGAGGACCACCAGUGGCGAAGGCUGCCGGCUGGCACGCGCCCGACGGUGAGGGAUGAAAGCUCUGGGAGCGAACCGG
rnacentral:rRNA from 1 species